rnacentral:rRNA from 1 species
GGUUUCUGAGUGCUCAGUGCUCCUCUCUCUCCCUUCCGCUUUAGCUCUGCGCUUUAGGGUUUGGGUUUGGGAGCCGCUGCGGCGGACGCCCGCUUACCCCCGCCGCCUCCGCGGCCGGGACCGCCGGCGCGGGCGGCGCCCCCCGCCCCAGCCCCCGCUCGGCGACCUCGCCUCCCACUACCGCCGCCAGUUCCGCAGCCUCCGCGCGCCCCUGGGCGGCGACGACGCGCGCCACCUCUAGAGGGCGGAGCAGCGGCCCCUCGGGCCCCGGCCCCAGGGGUCGCGCCUGGAGCGGCCCUAGGAGCAGAGGUUGGAGACGAAGCGCGUGUUGAGCGGGAGCGAGACCUUCGACGAGCUGGUCCGGUACAGCAGGGCGGAGGAGACGGGCGAGGUGCAGGAGCGCGAGGAGUGGCGGUCCCAAGACGGCGUCGCCGCCCGCGUCGGCCUCCGCAUGGCCGACAUGGACCUCGACGACUUCCCGUUGCAGUGCAGGAGGAGCGACAGAGAGGACCGGCCCAGAUUAGCACUGUUCUAUUGCUUUAGGUAGCUGCGACGAGACGUUGACAGGUUUUCGAUGCCCCAAAGACCUUGCCUGAAACCCGUACAACAGUAGGACAAACACAACUAACAAUAGUGGUUUGACUAGCUGAGGCACGACCUCCUAACGCCAUAAAGUAGACCUUACUGCGUCCUGGUCCUCUCACAUAUAGGGUAACUUCCCGGUGUCGGGUACCUGUACCUACAGUUCCCCCAGAGGCGACACUUCGUUUUACUCGUCGCACUUGUCAACGCAGCUUCCUUGUGGCAGUACCGAAACCUUCACAACGUAUAGUACCGGCGACUAUGCUUCUAAGUCCGUAAAGACGCGAACUAUACGGAAUUGUACGGACUGUUUAAGUCACAAGACUCGGUCUCCGACUGUGACUAACUUCGAGUGUUCUACCGUGAGCUCUCUAAUAACGGAUGAUCGGUAUUUUAACUACUAGACCACUACAUAUAGACCUCUCACUCGUUAGAUCUAAUGGUUGGUUUGUUGUUUGCCGAACACCCACAAGAACCAUUGAACUCUAGGUCGUUAAGGUACGACCCGGUUGAAUGUCCUCGACCCUCUCGACGGACAACCUAAUAUAAACUAUAAAUGUACCUCUUACGUUACCUACCCUCCGUAGAUCCGCCAUAUAGACGAUAGCUCUAAUAUUUUCUUUACAGGUUCUGUCGGGUUCGUUAAUUACUCCGUUCAACCGUCCUUUGAAAAUUUCGAGAAACCUAAAGGCGGGAAGCAGAACAUGUCGCCCGAUCUCUUGGAGAUCUCCCAGGUUAAGGAGUAGAUCUGUGUUCUAAUACGUACGAUAAUCGAGAAUAAGGUGAUCGUUAACGACGUUAAGAGUUCCUUCUUUGACUACGUACACCUCGACUUCCUUUGUUUUCAGACGGGGCUUCUGAUCCUGAACAUAGAAGAGAAGUCCUAAACCACGUUAUAAGUCCUGAAGAACAUGGUGGAAGUAGUAAUCACUUACACCGGUUACGACGCCGAAGUUUUCGACGUUAUAAAUCCCGGUUGACAUUCCAACAACCACCGUUGGGAUCGUACUAACCGGUCUCACUGAGAAGCUGCUUUCGACAACCUUUGUACGAUGUAGAAUAUCAACUUCGGACAUAAAGCUCCUUAAACUAGCUGUGUUGACGAAUGAACACCGGACCAAUACAACAUGACGGCCCCGUAAGCUUCCUAUGUAGAAAUGGGGUCCUUAGCGGUACCCAUUUGAAAUACGUUCCUCGAGGUGAUAGACUAGGUGACUUUUUACGAGAGUAACGAUGAGGACGAAGUUCACAACGUCUUAACCUAUUUGACAUGGUGUAGCGUAACUUACCAAGUCUUGUUCUUUUCAGUCGACGUCGAUUUUAACAAACGCCACGUAGUGAACACGCACCAACCUUAUAAGUCCUUGUACAACAGGCGUACCACCAGUUCAAUAACAGCGGAGGAAACGGGAGUCUAAGAAGUAAUGUCCCCUCGUACUCGGUGAUGGAAUCAGUCUUCAGAUGGAAUUUACGUUAGAAUGAACCACAGAGUAUACAGCUACGACAGGUGUAAAAAAGAAACAUACCUUACCAAGGUCUACAACGGCGUCGAAAUUACGGUGAGACACUUCGAAAACCCAGUUACGGUGGGGGUAGAUUGGUGUCCAGAUGGUAACAACUACUUUGCAGCCAAAUGAGCCAGAAGAGAACACGUAAAGAAACAGAAGAGGCCAACACCUUUAAAAUGUUCGGGGGAGUUCUCAUAACAGAACGACCGGCACCUCCGAGUCAUUCCAACCUUGAAUGAGACCUGAUAAACCACAAUUACGUGUUAUCGGCAUAACUCAAGGGUUUAAGUAGACGAUGAUCAUGGUUGAGACCGUCGUCAUGCCCGAGCAAGCUGCUCCAGGGUUGGGUUGGUUAAAUAUAACUGAGGAAGGGGUUCGAUUCCCGAACCAUGUAAGUCUUAGUUCGAACGUAUCGGAGAUGAGAAAGACCUGAACCGUUAUGUUUAGGACAGGUAGUUCAACGUUUGUUUUAAAACUCAUACUAAACGGCUUUUUACUGAUUUUCGCCCCAUCAUAGACCAUUAGAAAGUAGACGAAGGUCAUCGUCACAGUCACCAAGGAGAGAUUCAUGUAGACUACUAAGAAUGGUUUCCGGCUGUGAAGGUCGUACCCUUAAAGAUCUUCGUCAAGGAAUACAAGAACUUCGACAAGAAUGUCGAACAAUAGUGCCCUCCUAAAGGUCGGCUCUGUACUGAUGGUCAAAUGCCCUAGAUCACCUGAAGAAUGGUCGAAGAGAACGACGUUAACAAUCGAUGAAGAGUCGUCUUUAAUGUGCUCCUUAUACCUUUCGACAGGGAUACUUACCUUGACUUACCGGGUCGGGACCACGACGAGAAGUGAGGUAACUUCUACUUCAUUUCCUUUAGGAACGUAGACGACCACAAGUCUAAGUAUCGACGAUAGGUGCACCACACGGCGGUUACGAAGGAAAUGGUUACCGACGUGAACAGUCGAACUGUUAAUGCAAAUUCGACCUAUCCUCAGAGCUGAUGUAAGUGCCCUAGUAACCAGUCCGUGACCUCUUGACACGUCCCCCAUCAAGGACCGGUUCGUACGGGUAGUAUCCCCGGAACACCUGUGUCUUUCACGCUUCCACCGUACUAAAAUAACAGGAGAGUACAUAAGCCAGAGGCAAACCGUCUCUGUUUCUACGCCACCGUGUCGAGUAGGUUUCAACGAAGAGUAGGAAAGACGCGAGUAGGGGUAGGUCACCCAGACUAUAAUGACGUUCGGCACCUCAACCUCGAAAUUACCCUCUCAGUUAGUGUCCGGUGGUUCCAGAAGUAAAAGGGUACCGGGGACCUAAGUAGAUGGACUCUUGAACAGCUUGUAAGGUGCUAUGAAUGAAACACUCGCUCUACUAGGAGUCCGUUCACUAACUAACAAGGGUGUUUGAACGUUUACCUACCAGAAGGUUACCCGGAGGCGUAAAUUUUAGUCCAGCUGGCGGUGACAGACCACGACGUAGGUACCGAAGAGUCCAACGGUACGAACCACGCCCUGACGACACACAACGUCCCCCGGGAGAGGACCAGGUCCACGAUAUACUCCUCUGGAACGGCUGCGAUGACGAUAGUCGAGUCCUUGUCUACAACCUUCUGGGACCUGGCCACCGGUCGUGUGAAGUUCCAAUACGGUACCGGUUGUACGAAAAGAAGACACCCUCAGAUGAGACCCCGAGUCUUUUCUGAAGAGGGUAGUACUUUGACAGUAAGGAGAGCUCUUCUGGCGCUCACCACCCGUGGGUGUACCUAAAGUAACGACCACAAGACCUACCCGUGUAGGACGACCCCACGCUGGGUCCAUGCACCUUCCGCAUGCAUAGCACGAAACAUAAGGAACACCACUUCAAACAGGGCUGUACCGAUGCCCUGUAUUUUGACCUGUGUGACUUCUUCUAACGGCACCCCGAAGCUUCAACCGUGCUCGUACUAGAACGGGAUAGUGAUGAGCUCGCUCCUCCUGGUUUCUGUUAGAGACGACAUCAACUUUGGAACGAUGUUACUAGAACGGAACACAUUAAAAAACGGGGGUUGGAUUGAACAUCCUCGGUAACGUCAGAGUUCGGACUUAAGGCCGACCACUCGGUAGUCCGGUCGUUUAUCAGCACAAGUAGACACCUCAUCACAGUCCAAUAGAACAUACCAGAGAAACGACCUACAAAAUGACUUCAUACAUUCAAGUUUAAGAGUCUCGGCUACUGUUCAUAGGACCCAUUUCAUGGGGUCGACAUUAUUGUACACAUUAUAUUGUACCCCGUGACAUGCGGAUGUUAAUUAAUCGGGGAGGAAAAUCUUCUUUUAAACCGGGAGAACCGCCGAAUCUAAAGGUCAAACGGACGCUUAAAACCAUCCAGCCGAUACCUCCAAGACUUAGAAACCCUAUAGUAUCGC